AAAAAAAAAAAAAAAAAAAGACUGUUAAGACUGCUGAUGUUAUAAACCAAAUUUCUCUCUGCCUCAGAUUGUGACAAAGUUAUUACUGAAAGAAAUUGUUCUUUUCCCAUAGUCUAAAGUUAAUGCCUCCUUCACACACACCCAAAAGCAAUAGAAGAGAAAGUGAUGAUGAUGAAUUAAAACAAAAGAAAAGCUGCCAGAUUAACAAAGUCAAUCACACGUAGCACAAGCAGUAGUAAGAGGAAAACAAAACUGGAAAAUAAAGGUAUAAGAGAGACCUUGGUAUCGAGCAU
rnacentral:misc_RNA from 1 species